CCCGAGCUAUCGCCCCCUUCGUCUUGGC
rnacentral:sRNA from 1 species